rnacentral:snoRNA from 1 species
CUGUGAAUAGUUUCACUGUUCUUUUUACGGUAAGAAUCCAGGCAGAUUAACAUUCACUAUAAAAAAAACUAUCCAUGGGUCUGUCCUCAGACCCUGUUCAUUUCCUACAUAGGUCUAGUCUUCUAAAUUUUGGUGAUGGGG